rnacentral:ncRNA from 1 species
AAAUCCUGUCUGAAUAAGGUUUAGCCAACCAACAGUAGUGAGUCUUGAGCUGUCAUCAGUAAUGAUGGGAGUUAAGCGUAGACAGCGAGCAAGUAGGGUUGCAAUGCGAUUGAGCCACGAAAGGUUUCUUAAAUCAGAGGGCUGACAUGGUAAUUCACAUGGAAAGCAACAUCAUACAGAGCGUAAUGGCGAGUUCUGCAUGGCACUGCGGGGUCAAAGAGC